rnacentral:rRNA from 1 species
AUGGCAGUGAGAGGGGAGAAGACAAAGGCGCAACAGUUGAUGGCAGUGAGAGGGAAGAAGACGACGAUGAAGAAGACGAGAAUGGUUAUGGUGAUGAUAAAGGGGGAUCCAAUGGAGGCAGCGGCAGCAGCGAUGAUGAUGAUGAUGACAAUGCCCCUGGUUCUGGUGGAUUUGCCAAAGUCAAAGAAAAAUGACGAAGCAGAGUCUCAGGGCGGCAUUGAUAUGUUCAAGCUCUGCAACUUGAAGCCAGCUUUGCCAACCACCUUUCCUGUGCCAGAUUUUAGCGACCAAGAUAUGUGUGAGAAGAUCAACUUUGCCAUUGACAAUAGCCUGUUCUUAUCAAGUGAUGCUGAAAAGAAUCAAAUUGACAUGAAGGAAGCAGGAAAGGACCUAAGCUCCAGCAAGAGCAAGGCAGCAUCCAUGGCAAACCCUCAUGUGGUCCAGAAGCGUAAAGAAGUUUCAAUGAAGAAGAAUCUGCAGUUGCCUCAAACCAAGGAGAAGAUGGUGAGUGCAGAUGCUGAAGUAAAUAUGGUCAAGGAAGUUGUGCUUCAAACUGAUAUGCCAACUGUAGUGAGCAGAGAGCCAACCACCAUCACAGGAGUUCAACAGAUCAAGGGGAAGACUCCCCUUUCAACAGUCCCACCAAAACCACCUAAGCAGCAAAAGAUUGUCAAGUUUGCCAGGGGCACAAAGGGGGAACAGGCCACAAAAGGUUUGGGGUUCUGA